AAGCAGAUGGUAGACACAGCCUGUUUCCUACAAACAAAUAGUAAAUGUAGAUACAUACAAAUAUUGAGACUUUUGAUAAAAAAAAAUUUAGGUCGGAAGCAGUGGAUAGGGUGUCAAGCCUAGGACAGACAGUAAAAACAUAGGCCUUUUGAAUUAUGUGGGAAGAAAGAGAUGUACUACCAUAUGAAUCCACAGAGAUAUUUAUCUCCAUAGUAAAGACAAUUUAAUACACAGACAAAUAAAUAAUUUAGGCCUUGAUCACAUGUAGGCCAGGGCAGUGGACAGAAGAAGCACUGUCUCAACAGGUUAUAUUUGUUUAGAUUGCUUUGAAUUGUUGUAAUUAUCAGAAUGACUGUGAUCAUGAGUUUGGUUAAAAUUCCUCUGGGAAAGAGGUCAAGCUAUGCCCUUAAUGAUUUCUGGUUAUUGGAGCAAGGAUAUGCCAUUUUGGGAAAAGGGUUCUGUAUUUGUGGUAAAAGGAAAGGGGAAAAGGAUCUGGAUCCCUUCCAGAGUGAUAUGCAUCAGAUAUGAGAGGAAGACCACCUGAAGAUCUCAAAAAAUGCAAGAAAAUCAAACUGAACAGAUAUCUCUACUGAUUUAUCUUUGAUGUUAAGAAGUGUUACAGUCCCACACAACCCCUUUGUCCCUGUUUGGGAAAAUAUGCUGUAAUAUUAAAGUCAAUUUGAGAAUGCCUCUGACUCAUUGAAGAAUCUUGUGCUACAGGAUCCAUCUGAUUUUCAUCUGCUUCCCCCUCCCUGAACUAACCCUGGGCCACAGCUCCCUAUACACAAAUCCUGAUGGAAGAGAUUUGGUCUACCAGGAUGCUUACACACCUAAUAUCACAGACAGGAGCCUGAGAAACUGCAUCCAGCAGAUGACAGAAAUAGAGGCAGAGACCCACAACCAAACAUCAGGCAGAGCUUGGGGAGUCUUGUGGAUGAGUGUGAAGACUGAGUAAGGCAGAAGGGUCAAGGCCAUCACAGGACCUACAAAGUCAACUAACUUGGGCCAUGGGGGUUCAUAGAGACUGAACCACGAACCAAAGAGUUUGCAGGGUCUGAUCCUAUUUGCCUUACACAUUUAUAGCAGGUGUGCAGCUUGGUUUUUAAGUGAGUAUCCAAACAUUUGGAGCCAGAAUGACAGACACUUGUUGAUUCAUCCAAGAUUCAUGGCAGACACCCCAAGAGAUUGCCAAUCUUAAGGCUCCUACGGUUUUAUACACACAUCAUGUGAGGUGUAGUUUUUUUUUUUUAAUACCAUAGAGAAACACAUUGCUUGUUACACGCAGAGAAAUGAAAGCAUGCAGGGCAUAUCUAUGAUCAUGCUAUUGAGGAGCAAGGUUAUAGUUGGACUUAUGACACAUACUGAAGAGAUCAUCACUAACUGAUAUUUGCAUCCUAAAAUAAUUUUAUUUUUUAAAAAUCAAGUUUUGGGGUAUCUCAGACAUGAAUACAGUGUAUUUUUAUCAUCUCUAGUCUUUGCCUCCUUCCCUCUAAGUUCUCUUGAGGCUCUGAAAUCAGAUAACUAUUGUAUUUGAUUGGUUAUGCUUUCACUUUUAGCAUGGUUUCCAAAGGACAGCCUGAAUGUUAUGGAGUAUUAAAAGUUUUAUAAUUCUGAUUAGGAUACAUGUAUCAGCUGAUGAGUUUUAUACUUUGAUUUUAAUAACUUGACUUUCAUUACUUUUCUGUGAAAUAAAUGUGAUUUUAUUUAAAUAAACUUUAGCAUUAUUUGCUAGAUUAACAUGUA